ACUCAAAGGAAUAGACGGGGGCCCGCACAAGCGGAGGAACAUGUGGUUUAAUUCGAUGAUACGCGAGGAACCUUACCCGGGCUCGAACGGUUGAUGCAUAAAGAUAAAAGUCUUUCGUCGCAAGACAUCAGUCGAGGUGCUGCAUGGUUGUCGUCAGCUCGUGCCGUGAGGUGUCGGCUUAAGUGCCAUAACGAGCGCAACCCUUACCGUUAGUUACCAUCAGGUAACGCUGGGGACUCUAACGGGACUGCCACCGUAAGGUGUGAGGAAGGUGGGGAUGACGUCAAAUCAGCACGGCCCUUACGUCCGGGGCUACACACGUGUUACAAUGGGAGGGACAGCAGGCCGCUACCCGGCGACGGGAUGCCAAUCCCCUAAACCCUCUCCCAGUUCGGAUCGAAGUCUGCAACCCGACUUCGUGAAGCUGGAUUCGCUAGUAAUCGCGCAUCAGCCAUGGCGCGGUGAAUACGUUCCCGGGCCUUGUACACACCGCCCGU
rnacentral:rRNA from 1 species